rnacentral:rRNA from 1 species
UUUGUUACUUCAAACCAAUCGGACUUCGGUCUGACAUCAAGUGAUAUUGAACAAUUUAGCUGAUCGCACGGUCUAAGAACCGGCGACAUAUCCUUCAAAUGUCUGCCUUAUCAACUUUCGAUGGUAGAUUAUGCGCCUACCAUGGUUGUAACGGGUAACGGAGAAUCAGGGUUUGAUUCCGGAGAGGGAGCCUGAGAAACGGCUACCACAUCCAAGGAAGGCAGCAGGCACGCAAAUUACCCACUCCCGGCACGGGGAGGUGGUGACGAAAAAUAACAAGCUGGUCUCAAUGAGUUCCAGCAUUGUAAUGGGAACAAUUUAAAUCUUUUAUCGAGGAUCUAUGGGAGGGCAAGUCUGGUGCCAGCAGCCGCGGUAAUUCCAGCUCCAAUAGCGUAUAUUAAAGUUGUUGCGGUUAAAAAGCUCGUAGUUGGAUCUAGGAUUAGGGCUACGGUCGUUCAGCUUGGACGUACUGUAUGCCCGACUCCUUUUCUCUAAUAUUCGAUUGUUGCGCUUAAAAAAGAGCCGUUAGAGGCGGGAAAUCGUACCCUGAGAAACUUGAGAUGCCAAAUAGGGUAU